CCCUAAAAUUCCUCCCCUUUUCCCAUCCAUCUCUUCUCCGCCGCUGCCACCCACUCACCAUCUACAUCGGGAUCCUCCCGAUCCAUCCAACCACCUACCUCCUCGUCUUGCACACCCAGCCAGCCACCGCCCGAUCCAGUCGGGGGCCUCGAUUCGGGGUGUCCCGCCCUCGCCUCAUGCCCGAGCCACUGUCCAGGAGCUCCUCCCUCACCACCAACCCUGCCGGCAACCUCGACCAAGGUAGCCAUGGCCUCUGCUUCCCCUGCGUCCCUGCUGAAGCCCGCGCCAAGGCCAGCGCUCAGCCUCUGCUUCGUCUCGACCGCGCCCAAGGCCCCGAGCGCUCGAGCUCCCUUGCCAGGAGGCCGCCGCACCUCGCAGGAGCUCCGACCAACCCCGACGCUGGCGACCUCCAGGAGACCCCAUGGACGUCCGAACCACCUAGACCUCGAAGCUCUAGCAGCAUCUCUCGUCGCGUGGCCGUCCAUGCUCGCGUUGGCCAGAUCCAGAGGUCCGCCGCCCCUCGCCGUUCCGGCCGUCCAGAACCUCCUUCGUGCACCCAGGCCCGUCCAGACACCAGCGGCAUCGCAGUCCCGCGCCCCUGCUUCCCUUCGUCCCCAGCUUCAGGUCGAGCAGCGCUUGCUGCCUCGAGCGCGUUGGCCAGGUCGACCGCACCCGCGUGCACGCAGUGCUGCAGCCAGCCUGCUUCCGCCAAGGCCCAGCCCAGCACCGCUUCCUCCUCAACCGGCCUACCUCCUUCACCGACUGGGCCAAGAGAUCAUGGGGGCGUCACAACAGAAGCUUUAACAUCUACUCCCUCCGUUCGGAAUUACUUGUCUUGGAAAUGAAUGUAUCUAGAACUAAAAUACGUGUAGAUACGUCCAUUUCUGCGACGAGUAAUUUCGAACAGAGGGAGUAUAUUGGAGCUCGCCGGAGUCGGGCGACGGCAGACGGACGCUGGAGACGCAGGGGGCCGGAGCCGGGCGACACCAACCAGGCCACGGGUGGCGUACGAACGAGGGCUUCACCACUAGCCUGGAGAAUGGGGAGAAAGAGGAGGAGAUGCGGUCGUCGGCACGGUGCUGAACCAUCGACCCAACAGUAAGAUGAGUAUGUAUCGUGCAAGAGGAGAUCCUCAUCUACAGCCCACGUCUUGCCAGCCAAUGUGACACAUCUGGUGUACCCAAGGCCGUCCACAUGCGUAAUCAUUUUCAUGUGGGGAUUAAAGUGAUAUGGAAGUUCCAGGCUAAUAGGCUGCCAUCUGCCUCAACAGCUAACAACGCCUCCAUUCCAGACCUUCAAAACCUCGAGCAUCCCCCGUCCAAGGCGUCCCCAACCGGCAGUAAGCAAUCACUUGUUUUCUACCCCAAUAUUGUGUUUGUCUGUCUAAAUGAUUGGCUCUAUGAGAAGUUGCAUUGGAUGAAUUCGUGCUCCAUGAUUAUGGUGGCGAUUUCUGUAUGCAAUUUCUCUGAUUCAUGCUCGAGUGUUGUGGGCCUAUGAACUGGGGGUUCGGGUCAAUUUACAUGGCCUACCCAUUUCUUCAAAACUUUUCACUGCUCGAACUGUAUAGAGUGAAUUGUAGCACAUAUGUGAGCAAAAUCAUGAGGCCAUGAUGGUACAUAUUUGAUACAAUACGUAUGUUUUGCCUUCGUCAAAGUUCUCGGACACAAAAAGCUGGUUUCUUAGUUGCCUGUUUGUAUCUCAAAUGAUUUUUGAGUUUUAUGUUCUGAUAAAAAUGCAUUGCUGUCGGUAAUUAUUCCUUCUAAGUAACCUCCUUCAUCUUCAAGCUAACAAAGGAGAAAAUGUCUCACUAUAAUGAGAAAUUGCGACAAGAGCUGGUAAGUGCUUUCACAACUGCGGCAGUUUUGAACCAAAGUUGUAUUCUAGGGUAUUAUUCUUAAAACAAAUUCCAUCAUUUCUUUAUUUCUUAACCAUUAAUCUCAAUGAGUUGUUUAUAGCUGUCACUGAUGUAAUGUUAAACCGAUUAUAAAAAUGGCCUUUUCUUUUACUUUCUGAUAAUGACAUGCUAAUUCAUCUUAUAUUUCUGUUUUAAGUAACUAUCUCUACAGACUAGCGUACAUUUUAUUUUAAAAACAAGGGGUCUGCCAUGAUACAACAGGUUUCUGGGUAAUUUUAUCUAUUCUACUUUUUCGAUUGAAACAUGAAUAUUUUCUUCGAACAUAUUUUUUUAUAGUCACUGGGCAUGAUAAUGAAACUUCAACUCAAUGAAAAAUGCAAGUGAGAGCACGAGGAAUAGGAAUUCAUCUGUGUAACAUAUGGUCACAUUCAUCAUGUUGAUAAGCCAGUUGAAGCGGCACCUCAUGUUCUUACUUUUCUCUAUAGCAGUAAAGCAGAUAAAGUUGGGCUUCUUCUGUGUUGUGAAGACCCAGGUUGUCACUAGGGUGUAAAAAUGCAGACUUUCUUUUAUUGGUUUAUUGAAAGCCUCGCGAUGCUUUGCUUCAGUAUACUUGCAAAUUGAAUUGUUAUAUUGCACUAUUUGGCCAAUGUGCUAAAAGAUCUGGUGAAUAUAAUUGGACCAUGGCCAGUAUGAACAUGGUAACAUGUGCCCUGCCAUACACCUAUCUGUGCAUGAUUUCUAUGUAUAUGCAUCUACAUUUCAGAUCUGGCGGGGGCUGAGAAGCCGCACGACUCACAUAUUCAACUUAAAUGAGGCUUCUUUACAAUACAUGUGGCAUGUAAUUCACAAGAUAUUUUGUGUUCUGUGCCUGCAGAUAGAAUAUGAGGGCAGGGUAAGUUCUGCCUUUUACAAUCUGCGGUUAUUUGUUCUAGGUUAGCAACAGCCUCUUUUUUCCAUGAGAGAACAAGGUAAUAAAUAAGUAGUAAUAUUAGUUAUGCUUAGAUAAGUAACUAAAAAUUAUGAUGGGAUUUAGAAUUGAGUUAUAGGAGAUUUUCAAUUUUACCCUCUUCGGUUCAGAUAAUAGCUUGUCUGUCAUAUACUCCUUUAGCAAAACACCAUCAUAUAUUUUUUCGUUGAAACAAAGCAGCUAACUCGCUUCAGUCUAAUAGUUCAUCAAGAAUCCUAAUUUGGUAAUGGUAGAUUGUAGCUUAAUUAAGAAGAUUUCCUAGAAGUCAUGUUAGGUUCUUUAGAAAAAUUAAAGUUUCCAACCCAAUUCAGUGAUUUGUGCAUGCUAACAGGGAUUCAUGCAAGCAUGCUAACAGAGAUUCAUGUCGGCAUGCUAACAGAGGAACAUGUUUUAUGAUGAGAACCAAUCAAGUUAUAGGUGCAUAUUAUCAGUGGAAAAAAUUCCUUUAUUGAAACACUAUGAAUUAUUUUUUGAUACAAUGCUCAAGGUUGGGUGUAUAUUUGUAAAAUUGAUGGUUAUUCAUUCAGCUUAGACAACAGUAUAUUGUCAUAUUUUUUUAAUCCUUUUGUUGCUAUAUUCUGCCUUACUUCUAAUAAUGUUCAUCUUUUGGUGUUACUCAUA